rnacentral:rRNA from 1 species
AACGAACGCUGGCGGCAGGCCUAACACAUGCAAGUCGAGCGGGCUCCCACCUUCGGGUGACGAGCUAGCGGCGGACGGGUGAGGAACACGUGGGAACAUGCCUUUCGGUACGGAAUAGCCUCGGGAAACUGGGAGUAAUACCGUAUACGCCCUUAGGGGGAAAGAUUUAUCGCCGAGAGAUUGGCCCGCGUUAGAUUAGUUUGUUGGUGAGGUAAUGGCUUACCAAGACUACGAUCUAUAGCUGGUUUGAGAGGAUGAUCAGCCACACUGGGACUGAGACACGGCCCAGACUCCUACGGGAGGCAGCAGUGAGGAAUAUUGGACAAUGGGGGCAACCCUGAUCCAGCCAUGCCGCGUGAGUGAAGAAGGCCCUAGGGUUGUAAAGCUCUUUCAGAUGUGAAGAUGAUGACCGUAGCAUCAAAAGAAGCCCCGGCUAACUUCG